CUUACACCACUGCAUUGCUGACCAGAUUGAGCACCAUGUUGCCUUUUCUAAUAAUGCUCGUCGCUCUCAUGCCACCAUCGUUAGCGACCUUCGGGGUGACUAUCGGAGCUGAUUGGGCCGGUCGAUAUUCCUAUGUCGUCAAUACUUUAAGCUUGUCUGGCAUCGCGGAUGGUGUCGAGGUGAGUUUACCGGCGCUGAUUGUGAGUGCCAAAAUGGUUAUUUCCUCUAAUGAUUUUGAGUGAGUUAAAAUAUAUAGUUUCAUUAAAUUGCAAUUUAAUUUUGUUCGUACGCAAAAAUUUAUUAAAUGUUUUACGCAAAUAUUUUUUUUUGCAA